rnacentral:misc_RNA from 1 species
UGAUUUGAGGUCUAAAAUUUAAAGUGCUGUAAUAGCGCAUUAGAAGCACCUCUAACUUUUGAAGAAAACGUCCUCAGCGAAAUAAUUAUUACGCCGAGUCAAGCCGUUUAUUUCAAAUGGGUUGCUCGUGUAUUUCAACUGAGCCGGCAAUUACGCCGACAGCAGUCAUAAUCCAAGCCCACGCCCAUCUCAUUACAAAAUAGGGGGGUUGAGAGUUUCAUGACACUCAAACAGACAUACUCUUCGGAAUACCAAAGAGUGCAAGGUGCGUUCAAAGAUUCGAUGAUUCACUGAAUUCUGCAAUUCACAUUACUUAUCGCAAUUCGCUGCGUUCUUCAUCGAUGCGAGAGCCAAGAGAUCCGUUGCUGAAAGUUUUAUUUUUAUUUAUGCUCAAUAAAGAGACUGUUACAUUCUUAUACUAUAGUGUUAAAAUGUGUGAAAAGAAGUGUGUGCACAGUGUAUGGAAAUGAAAGGGUCGGACCUCUAAAAAGAGAGUCCUAAAAUUCAUUAAUGAUCCUUCCGCAGGUUCACCUACGGAAACCUUGUUACGACUUUUACUUCCA